rnacentral:rRNA from 1 species
UGGGGAAUAUUGGACAAUGGGGGCAACCCUGAUCCAGCCAUGCCGCGUGAGUGAUGAAGGCCUUCGGGUUGUAAAGCUCUUUUGGCGGGGACGAUGAUGACGGUACCCGCAGAAUAAGCCCCGGCUAACUUCGUGCCAGCAGCCGCGGUAAGACGAAGGGGGCUAGCGUUGUUCGGAAUUACUGGGCGUAAAGCGAGUGUAGGCGGUUGCCGUAGUCAGGUGUGAAAGCCUUGAGCUCAACUCAAGAAAUGCACUUGAUACUGGGUGACUAGAGGACCGGAGAGGAUAGUGGAAUUCCCAGUGUAGUGGUGAAAUACGUAGAGAUUGGGAAGAACACCAGUGGCGAAGGCGGCUAUCUGGACGGUUACUGACGCUAAGACUCGAAAGCGUGGGGAGCAAACAGGAUUAGAUACCCUGGUAGUCCACGCCGUAAACGAUGGGUGCUAGACGUUGGCGAGCUUGCUCGUCAGUGUCGCAGCUAACG